GGCGCAGCGCGCAGGGCGGAGGCAGCAGCGGCGCUGGGCCGGGAGGAGGCCGGCCAGGGUGCGGAGCGGCCCCAGCCCGGCCCCCAGUGGGGAGAUGGCGUCCUACGUAGAUAACAGCUUCCGCCAGGCGGUGAUGAAGAACCCCCCUGAAAGGACCCCCCAGGAUCUGGAAAUAGUAUAUUCCUAUUUACAUGGUAUGGAAGCCUUGUCAAACUUGAGGGAGCAUCAACUUAGGUUAAUGUGUGAAACUGUGAGAUAUGAGAAAAAAAAAAAAAAAGAAAAAAAAAAAAAAAAGGUGUUUCCUUUUUGUUUGUACAAAAAAAAAAAAAAAAAAAAAAAAAAAAAAUAAAGAAUCAAAGGAGUAUUAGUAAAAAAAAAAAAAAUAAAAAAAAAAAAAAAUUUCUUAGUUGAGAAAUGGGAAAAAAAAAAAAAAAAACAAAAAAAAAAAAAAAAGUUUACAGUUCUUUCCUGAUAAGUCCACAUUUAUGUCUAUAUUUGUAUCUCUCACAUGUGGGUCAAAGAUACUAUAAAAAAAAAAAAAAUAAAAAAACAAAAAAAUUAUGAAAUAAGAAAUAGUAUACAAAAAAAAAAAAAAAAAAAAAAAAAAAAAACCACAGGCACACCAGAUGAAAUGAAAAAAAAAAAAAAAAAAAAAAUAAAAAAAUAUCCUUCUUUCAGAAACAGGAAAAAAAAAAAAAAAACAAAAAAAGAAAAAAAUUUCAUCUUUAGAUAAUAUUAAUAAAAAAAAAAAAAAGAAAAAAAUAAAAAAACAGAAAAGACAGCCUAUUCUUAAAAAAAAAAAAAAAAAAAAAAAAUAAAAAAAUAACAUAAAUUAUGAUUUAGUAGAAAAAAAAAAAAAAAAAAAAAAUAAAAAAAGACUGUUGUUCUCAUGACUGUUUAAAAAAAAAAAAAAUAAAAAAAUAAAAAAAUCUAGACUUAUAGGGAAUAUUUAAAAAAAAAAAAAAAUAAAAAAACAAAAAAAAAGGAGUUCAUUAUCUGUUGAGAAAAAAAAAAAAAAAAAAAAAAAAAAAAAAAAACAGAAGCAAACAAAGCAAAGUAAAAAAAAAAAAAAGAAAAAAAUAAAAAAAUGGAAGAAGUGCGAGGGGGAGCGAAAAAAAAAAAAAAGAAAAAAAUAAAAAAAGCGGUUGUGGAACCAGAUCUCAAAAAAAAAAAAAAAAGAAAAAAAAAAAAAAAUAGGCAGAAGGAACAGUAUGUGCAAAAAAAAAAAAAAGAAAAAAAGAAAAAAAUGAUGUUUUGAACAUCAUGGCAAAAAAAAAAAAAAAAGAAAAAAACAAAAAAAGGGGUGGUAAGUCAAGAGAAGACAAAAAAAAAAAAAAUAAAAAAAGAAAAAAAUGUUAUUCAGAAAACAAUCUGGAAAAAAAAAAAAAAAUAAAAAAAUAAAAAAAAACAU
rnacentral:lncRNA from 1 species